UACGUAGGGAGCGAGCGUUGUCCGGAUUUAUUGGGCGUAAAGAGCUCGUAGGCGGUUUGGUAAGUCGGGUGUGAAAGCUCCGGGCUCAACUCGGAGAGGUCACUCGAUACUGCCAUGACUGGAGUCCGGUAGGGGGGUGUGGAAUUCCCAGUGUAGCGGUGAAAUGCGCAGAUAUCAGGAGGAACACCAAUGGCGAAGGCAGCUCGCUGGGACGUGACUGACGCUGAGACGCGAAAGCGUGGGGGAGCAAACAGG
rnacentral:rRNA from 1 species